UCGAGCCAUACUCCCAUACUCCUGUCUUUCUCUUUCUCUAGUGAGGUGGGGCUUUGAGAAGUGGGGAUCCAGGACAUAUUGGUGGGGCCAUCUGCCUAGGGAAGUCUUUUUGGCAUCAUGGUAGCUUUUGGAACCUGGUGGCUGAAACAAAGAGUCAAUAUCUACAGCCAAACAAAUCGUUGCCUAAUCAUGAACACAAAGGCUAGAAUAUUGCAGAUGAAGGUUGGGGGUCUCCGUUUUGUAGAUAGCUAGUAGGCCUAUUUUAUUUAUAUUUCAGAGGGUCCAUGACUAUACUAGUUUUUUUUUUUUUUUUUCUGAGCCUGACAUCUGAUAUGCAGGUAGAUCCAAGUUAUUGUCUGGGGAGAUGAUGUCAUGGCUGGAAAAAGGACCAGAAAGCUGGAUCAGGGAAGAGAGUAGCUCCCAAAUAUGGGAAAGAUAUAUAUCAAGAGAGCUACCAGAGGAUGAACUCCAACAAGAGGAAAAAUGAACCCAAGGAAUGGGCUGGCUUAUAAGCAAUAGCGAUACUUUCCAUCUCGUGAGCUCCUCGCUUGAUGAGCACAAGAAAACCCUGUGAGCCAUGCUGAACUAGGUGACCCCACGUUGUACCUCUCGGUCCUAGCGCCACCGUGAUUAGCAGGACAGCACUUAGGGGCGCGGUGCUAAGUGCCAUGCCAAGUGGGGACGAGGCCGAACAGCGGAAGAGGAGCCGGCCGCCCCCAGCCUCCGUGGCCAGUCGCCUCCUACGGGUGGGAGCAGCCGGCAGACUUGCCCGCGCCGCCGGCAGGCGAGCCUGCGCGCCUGAACCUGCGAUCGGGCGGCCGGGGGCGCCAGCCCCUAGUGCUCCGCGCAGGCCUGGGCCGUGAGCGGGCGUUGCCCGGGAAAGCCCUCCGCCCCCGCCAGGGGGACCCGGGAAGCCCGCGCGGGCUCCUCCUGAGGACUGCGGGGAUCCCCUCCUCCGGCCCCGCCCCCAGCCUCCCCCAGCCCCCGCGCCUGGGCGCUUAACCCUACGCGCGCCGGGCCGCUGUGCGCGCUCGCUUGCUCGCUCGUUCCGGGCUGCAGCCACCUCGCCGAGGCGAUCCUGGGGCUCAAGCCCCGCAUUCUCCCCGCGCCCCACGUUCUCUCUCAGCGGCUGCGCCUGCAGUGACCGCGAGCCCGGCGGGCAGCCCAGAGGCCAAGGGGGUCAAGGGUCC